rnacentral:rRNA from 1 species
CACGUAGGGUGCGAGCGUUGUCCGGAAUUAUUGGGCGUAAAGAGCUCGUAGGCGGUGUGUCGCGUCGGCCGUGAAAACCUGCAGCUUAACUGUGGGCUUGCGGUCGAUACGGGCAUCACUGGAGUUCGGCAGGGGAGACUGGAAUUCCUGGUGUAGCGGUGAAAUGCGCAGAUAUCAGGAGGAACACCGGUGGCAAAGGCGGGUCUCUGGGCCGAUACUGACGCUGAGGAGCGAAAGCGUGGGGAGCGAACAGG